rnacentral:rRNA from 1 species
UGGAGUUUGGCAGAGGGGGGUGGAAUUCCACGUGUAGCAGUGAAAUGCGUAUAGAUGUGGAGGAACACCAAUGGCGAAGGCAGCCCCCUGGGUCGAUACUGACGCUCAUGCACGAAAGCGUGGGUAGCAAACAGGAUUAGAUACCCUGGUAGUCCACGCCCUAAACGAUGUCAACUAGGUGUUGGGAGGGUAAAACCUUUUAGUGCCGUAGCUAACG